ACUCCUACGGGAGGCAGCAGUGGGGAAUAUUGCGCMAUGGGSGGAAGCCUGACGCAGCGACGCCGCGUGGGGGAUGACGGCCUUCGGGUUGUAAACCUCUUUCAGCAGGGACSAAGCGAGAGUGACGGUACCUGCAGAAGAAGCACCGGCCAAUUACGUGCCAGCAGCCGCGGUAAUACGUAGGGUGCAAGCGUUGUCCGGAAUUAUUGGGCGUAAAGAGCUCGUAGGCGGUUUGUUGCGUCSGCUGUGAAAUCCCGAGGCUCAACCUCGGGUCUGCAGUCGAUACGAGCAAACUAGAGUGUUGCAGGGGAGACUGGAAUUCCUGGUGUAGCGGUGAAAUGCGCAGAUAUCAGGAGGAACACCGGUGGCGAAGGCGGGUCUCUGGGCAACAACUGACGCUGAGGAGCGAAAGCGUGGGGAGCGAACAGGAUUAGAUACCCUGGUAGUCCACGCCGUAAACGUUGGGCGCUAGGUGUGGGGCUCAUUCCACGAGUUCCGUGCCGCAGCUAACGCAUUAAGCGCCCCGCCUGGGGAGUACGGCCGCAAGGCUAAAACUCAAAUGAAUUGACGG
rnacentral:rRNA from 1 species